AUGAAGAAUCUGAAGGAUCCAAAGACUAAGAUUUAUCCCUCAAUGACGAGGGGAGGUAAGGAACUGCCAUCCAGUUCUUCUUUAGAUUCACCUUCUGUUAUGAGUAAAUUUGCAACACCACCACAUACUAUCUCUGAUAUGUCGCAAAUUAUUGAUGAUGCUACUUCUACUAUGAAUGAUGCUUAUGAUGAUGCUAGUACCUUGCUUGCUAAUGAUGAUGUGCCACUUGGUGAUUUUCUUGAUAAACAAAUUGCUAGAGUUAUACAACAUGAUGUCGUUGAAUCUGAUGAUGAGCUUGAAACUAAAACUCCUGAAACACCUGUUAGAACUAGACUUCCUAGAUAUGAAUUGCCUAAGGUACCGGAAGGUUAUGUUAUGAGUGAAGAAGCAACUAGAGAUAUUCUUGCUUGCAAUGAUAGAGAUGAUCUAGAGAAAUUACUAUGCAAGUACAGAGAAAAAUCUUUGAAUUCUAGAAUGAAAUGUGAUCCUAAGUUUGCUACUUCACCUAUCUGUAUUGCUGAUAAGGAUUAG
rnacentral:rRNA from 1 species